rnacentral:rRNA from 1 species
CCUACGGGAGGCUGCAGUGAGGAAUAUUGGUCAAUGGACGAGAGUCUGAACCAGCCAAGCCGCGUGAAGGAUGACUGCCUUAUGGGUUGUAAACUUUUUUUAUAUGGGAAUAAAAUGUUCCACGUGUGGGAUUUUGUAUGUACCAUAUGAAUAAGGAUAGGCUAACUCCGUGCCAGCAGCCGCGGUAAUACGGAGGAUCCGAGCGUUAACCGGAUUUAUUGGGUGUAAAGGGAGCGUAGGUGGAUUGUUAAGUCAGUUGUGAAAGUUUGCGGCUCAACCGGAAAAUUGCAGUUGAAACUGGCAGUCUUGAGUGCAGGAGAGGUGGGCGGAAUUCGUGGUGUAGCGGUGAAAUGCGUAGAUAUCAGGAAGAACACCGGUGGCGAAGGCAGCUCACUGGACUGCAACUGACGCUGAGGCUCGAAAGUGUGGGUAUCAAACAGGAUUAGAUACCCCUGUAGUC